rfam:Micrococcales bacterium 73-13 scnpilot_expt_750_p_scaffold_479, whole genome shotgun sequence.
GCCGGUGUGGCGGAAUGGCAGACGCGACCGACUCAAAAUCGGUUGCCCGAGAGGGCAUGUGGGUUCGAGCCCCACCACCGGUA